CGGCGUGCCCCGCGCCGCCGCGCUGCGCCGCGCCGCGGUGACGUGUGCGCUGCGCCGCAGAGCCUGCCGGGAGAUGGAGUCCCGGUUGGUCCAUGCCUUGACCCUGACCAGCUGGUACCGCUGCUGCAGCAGCCCCUUCCCUUCCCCCUGCCCGACCCUCAGAUGGGGUCCUGAGCCCGGGUCCGGUUCUGCAUCGCUGGCUGAAAAUUUGUCUGUCUGAGUCCGUUUCAUGAACUGUGUUGGAGCAGCCCGUGGACUCCCAGGACAAAAAAGGACUAUUUUUAGAAUAGAAUAGUUCAGCUGGAAGGGAUCUACACCCAACCAGUGAUCAGGAGCAGCAGGGACCAGCAACGUGGGCAGCAGAUGCACUCAAAGGCAGAGAGAGCAGAUGCAAAACCUGACCAGGGCUGCAAAAGAAAAUGAAUGAGAUUUACGGUCUCCUGUUUCCUGCUGUGCAUCAGGCCCUGAGCAGCAAACCUCAGCAGGACCCAUCCGGGCACCGGCAGUUCCCUGGAGGUGUUGCUAUGCCCAGGGAGGGGACACGGGCAUCAGCACUCCUGGCAUCAGCAGGGAAAUGCUUUUUCAGCCCCUGAUAUAUUUUCCAGUGAA